rnacentral:rRNA from 1 species
UUCCGUAGGUGUACCUGCGGAAAAGGGUCAUUA